GACGAACGCUGGCGGCGUGCUUAACACAUGCAAGUCGAACGGAAAGGCCCUGCUUUUGUGGGGUGCUCGAGUGGCGAACGGGUGAGUAACACGUGAGUAACCUGCCCUUGACUUUGGGAUAACUUCAGGAAACUGGGGCUAAUACCGGAUAGGAGCUCCUGCUGCAUGGUGGGGGUUGGAAAGUUUCGGCGGUUGGGGAUGGACUCGCGGCUUAUCGGCUUGUUGGUGGGGUAGUGGCUUACCAAGGCUUUGACGGGUAGCCGGCCUGAGAGGGUGACCGGCCACAUUGGGACUGCGGUACGGCCCAGACUCCUACGGGAGGCAGCAGUGGGGAAUAUUGCACAAUGGGCGGAAGCCUGAUGCAGCAACGCCGCGUGCGGGAUGACGGCCUUCGGGUUGUAAACCGCUUUCGCCUGUGACGAAGCGUGAGUGACGGUAAUGGGUAAAGAAGCACCGGCUAACUACGUG
rnacentral:rRNA from 1 species